CCAUCCGUAUGGCCUCGCGCCGUCUCCGUACUACUGGUUGCAGCGUCCUUCUCGAACUCCUCCCUUCCACCGGUGCUAUGGGCGCCGUCGCCGCGAACCGGAGGUGGUCCUGUAAUAGAGGUCGGUCACCCGGGCCUGGUACUCCGAGUAGCCGCUGCGCCGGUACUUGGUCCGGCGGUGCUUGGGGCAGUUGUGGCAUAAGCUACGGUUCGCUGAUUAGCCCGCUUCUAAGUGACUACGUACACACGUUCCUCUAUAGUUCGAAAAGGGUAAGUUCCAGUAAAGUCCGGGACCACUGGCCGGCGACUAACACCAUUUCAUGUCCCCACUCCACUUCGUCAAACGUCGGCUCCUCUAGAGGAGGUACUACGAACAGUUCUACACCUUUAACGGCUCCGGAUGGAGCCGUGUAGCCACUUUUUACAACAGUAGUGGCAAGGUCAAAUGAAGUGACUGAGGGUUGCCGUCCGGUGGUACCUACGACCGCGGUAACGACCGGAAUUACAGUACGCGUAGUAGUUACUCGGGAGACGACGUCGGUAACGGAUACCAGAACUGUUCCCUAGGGCGUUUCCCCUUCCCUUUUGUCACGAGUAGAAACUAAAACCACCACCAUGGAACCUACACAGUUAAUAUUGAUAAGUGUACCCGUAGAAGUGCCAGUUUCCGGUGUAGACCACUGUGGGUGGAACCGCCCGUCCUAGAGUUGUCGGCCUACCACCUUGUGAAACAUGUCCUAAAGGAAUUCUCUGUGUUCUCACUGUAGUCUUUGUUGGGUUUCCGCGAGUACGCCGACUCCCGUCGGACACUCUCCCGGUUCUCUUACGACAGAAGGUACCACGUCCGUUUUAAACUCUAGCUGAGCGAAGUGCUGUCGUAACUGAAGAUACCGUGGUAAUGGGCGCGGGCAAAACUCCUCGAGUUGUACCUGGAGAAGGCAUUUACGUGACUUGUACAGCUCUUCACGGAGCCACUACGGUUCUACCUGUUUAGGGUCUAGGUACUGCAGCACGAACACCCACCGAGGUCGGCCUAGGGGUUCCACGUCGUCGACGAGGUCCUAAAGAAACUGCCCUUCUAGGAGACGUUCUCGUAGUUGGGACUACUCCGACAGCGGAUGCCACGGCGACAGGUCCGGCGACGGGAGUCACCGCUUACACUGGUCUUCCACUUCCUGAACGAGGAGGAACUACACUGCGGGGAGAGUGAGCCAUAUCUCCAUUAUCCACCAAACUACUCGCACGACUAGGGGUCCUGAUGAUGGUAGGGGAAGUUCUUCCUUGCCUAAAUGUGCUGGGUAAUACUGUUGGUCUGCUCGCACGAGUAAGUCCACAUGCUCCCACUUCCCCGCUACUGGUUCCUGUUGUUGGAGGAGCCGUUCAAGUAGGAGGUGCCGUAGGGGGGUCGCGGUUCCGAACACGGGUUCUAGUUACACUGUAAACGCUAACUUCGGUUGACGUAGGACUUCCACAGCCGCCUCCUGUACUGCUGACCUUCGUUCUUGUCGUAGUGGUAGUGAUGACUGUUCCCACCCGACUCGUUCCUUCUCUAACUCGCGUACCACGCUCUACGACUCUUCAUGGUCAGCCUCCUGUCCUUCCUUUACUUCUUUUAAUAUUUCUUCCUUCUGCCCCUCCCAACCCACUCGUUCCUCCUCAAGCUCGCGUACCACGUCUUCUUCGCGUACUACGUCAGGCUUCUGUUCUGUGUUCAAUUCUUCUAUUUCUUCCUUCCACCUCCGGCCAUUCCACGAGUUACACGAAGACGUUCGGAUACUAGCGCGACGAAAACGCUGUCGACCACAGAUCAUAGUCACGGGAGACGUUGAAGACCUUACCCGUAACGCGUACGGGUAAGAAAGAUCAUGUCAUCAAUUACACGAAGUACACCAAACCCUUGUUGACUCACUUGAAUAUAUAGCCAACGUACAGAUGGUAGACGAACUACUUAUCCGUGAAAACCACGGCAACUAGACGCCGUAUGACGGUCAAGUCAACCAAACACUCUAAAGGCAGAGCCAAAUGGUGGCCGGCACUAAACACCGUAAACGUUAAAGGGGACAACGUAGUCGGGUCAAGAUCAAGACCAAUGAACUAAACAAAACCUUUAAAGACAGAGACCACUCGAAUGAUGCCAGUUGUGUAUUUUUACGUAGUUCUCAAAAGCACGUAAAAACAAACGUUGAGGAAUACACGUUUGGCGUAUAUCUUGUCACCGACUUGGAACAUCUAUAAAACAUGACUACGGAAAAGACAGAGACGGAAGCGG
rnacentral:rRNA from 1 species